UGCAUGGUGGCCAUUUUAGUUUGACUCUUGAAAUGUACCAUCCCACAUUCAAUCCCACAAGACAUUUGAAAUACUAAGGGGAAAAUCUGACAUUCAGACAGGAUCUGUGGAAGACUGCUGGUUGUCAUCUCUGUAGCCAUGAAGAACGUUUUGGCUGUUGUUAUCAUCGCAGCUUUCGCACUGUGCGUCGAGAAUCUCCCCAUCUCAUCUGACUCCUCAGAGGAGGCAGUGGACCCUCUGGGAGCCGCCAUUAGCAGGCCUUUCUACGACCUCUGGGACCGCACUUUAGACAAGACGGCAGAAUCUCUGAGUAAAAAACUGCAGCAAUCUCUGGGAAUGAUGUUCAACAACCUGAGCUCCGCUUUUCUAUCUGUUAUUUUGGAACCAGUUCCCACUUCACCACCUCUCCUGUGAGGAUGCAAAACUGCAGAACUUGUUUGUUUUCCACAUGGACUUAAAAUAAAACCUGAUUCUGAAUGCGACU
rnacentral:lncRNA from 1 species